GAUGAACGCUAGCGGCAGGCUUAACACAUGCAAGCCGAGGGGUAUUUAUCUUCGGAUAGAGAGACCGGCGCACGGGUGCGUAACGCGUAUGCAAUCUACCUUUUACAGAGGGAUAGCCCAGAGAAAUUUGGAUUAAUACCUCAUAGUAUAUAGACUCGGCAUCGAGAUUAUAUUAAAGUCACAACGGUAAAAGAUGAGCAUGCGUCCCAUUAGCUAGUUGGUAAGGUAACGGCUUACCAAGGCUACGAUGGGUAGGGGUCCUGAGAGGGAGAUCCCCCACACUGGUACUGAGACACGGACCAGACUCCUACGGGAGGCAGCAGUGAGGAAUAUUGGACAAUGGGCGCAAGCCUGAUCCAGCCAUGCCGCGUGCAGGAUGACGGUCCUAUGGAUUGUAAACUGCUUUUAUACGAGAAGAAACACUGCUACGUGUAGCAGCUUGACGGUAUCGUAAGAAUAAGGAUCGGCUAACUCCGUG
rnacentral:rRNA from 1 species